GAAUGCUGAAAGAAGAAAGAAAAGGGGGAGAAAAACCCCCCCCCGCCGAAAGAUCAAGGUUUCCUGUCCAACGUUAAUCGGGACAGGGUGAGUCGGCCCCUAAGGCGAGGGCGAAAGCCGUAGUCGAUGGAAAACCGGUUAAAAUUCCGGUACCGAUUUUUACUGCGAUGGAGGGACGGAGAAGGCUAGGCUAGCACGGCGAUGGUUGUCCGUGUUUAAGCGUGUAGGUAGGGGGAUUAGGUAAAUCCGGUUCCUCGUUAAUCUGAGACGUGAUGACGAUCUCUUAGGGAAACCUUCGAGAGAAGUAGUUGAUGCCAUGCUUCCAGGAAAAUCUUCUAAGCUUCAGGUGAUUUGAGACCGUACCCCAAACCGACACAGGUUGUUAGGUAGAGAAUACUAAGGCG
rnacentral:rRNA from 1 species